UAAAGAUACAACAACCACAAAAACUCCAGCUAAAACUACUACCCAAAUACCAGCUACAACUACAUCCAAAGCCCCAGGUACAACAACCACAAUAAAUCAAGACAUCCCGAAACCCAAAAUGCCUGAUACGGGAGGAAACGCAGCUGCUAGUAAUUCAAGAAGCAGUACUGGGAAAGACAUUUUGUUUGUUCUUGUGACAACUGUUGGAGUCUUGAUAUUGAACAUUUUGAUGUUAUGAAGAACACAGAUUUCUUUUGUUUUUUCAUUUAAAAUGUUUGCCAAUGCGUUAUGCAAGAAUUAUUUUGCUGAAUUAAAACAAAGCUUAAUGCUAAAUGCUAAGUAGGCUAAAGUUUGGUCUCAGUUUCUGAACGUUUGGGUACCAUGGAGCAAAGUAAAAACUAAACAUCUGUCUGACAAACAAGGAGAUAUGACUCCUACCAGCCACUGAUUUGCUUAGUCCUGAGACAGAGGAAUGCUUAAGGUCACUUUGUAUUUGUACUUAUUGAAGACUGCAUAGAGCUAAGCAAUAGAAAACCCACCAGAAUCAAAUGUAGUAAAUAUGAUUGAAUUAAUAGCCAUUUAGACUUUUAUUAAAACA